rnacentral:tRNA from 1 species
UCCCAAGUGGCUCAGUGGUAAAGAAUCUGCUUGUCAAUGCAGGAGAUGCAGGUUCAAUCCCUGAGUUGGGAA